UCUUAAUAAUUCAUGUUUAAAAUAUAUAUAUAUAUUGUCCUUUUAGUGUUGCUUUAAUUUAAAAGUAUUCACGGCCUAUAACUCAUGCAUCUGCAUCUGUGUUGUAAGUCCCAUUUGAUUUGGGUAUACAGCACCAGCACAGUACCUUGGAACAAAUCAGCAGCAUUUUGGUCAUGUAAAGAUGCACUUGACACUUUGUGACUCAGCUUAUUUAUUUUUUUAAAAAGUAGAUGAUAAGGUAUGCUAAUAUUUUUUUUUUUUCUCCUACUGAGAACAUUAUUUCUAUUGCUAACAGUAAUUGUACUAGAUAAGUGUUUAAAUAUAUCACCUCUUGCUAGAAGUUCACGAUUAAUAUAUGUUAAUUUGCUACGGUUUUUACAGCACUUCAAAAGGUCACGUAUCGCGAGUCAGUCAGUCCCUGUUUAUCAUAUUCUGCAACUUAUACACUGUAGAAGAUACAAAGACAAGUUAAAUCACAGAUGGAAUAAAAUUAUAAGGCUUCAGUUGACUCCCACGGAAAAGAUGAGGAAGAAGUCCUUCUGCCUGGAGUCAUAUUUAAUUCAACCUAAAACCCAUAGUGUAAAUUGAUAUCAAGGCUAUGAAGCAAGACUGCGUAUUACUUUAUUAUCUAAAUAGUCUGUGAAAUUUUAUUUUCUUCUGCGAUGUAAAUGUGGGUAACUAUAAGUGGUCCUUUAGGAUUCUAGGCCAAUCCUAUGUUAAGUUUUAGAUGUAUAAUUCAAAGACAUGGACUUGCUUUGAAAGUUCAAAAAAUGGCUCUAUCUAUUCCAUAUCAUAUUCAUAUAUCAUUCCAUUAUCAUAUCUUCCAUACAUAUCAAAUGUAUGGAAGGAGCAUUGUGAAAUUUUUACAAGCGAUUGUUGGGACAACUCUGUAAAAAGGUGAUCGGAUAUAAAAGAUAUACAGUAAAAAUUUAUGUCAAUGUCGUAUACUUCCUAACAGUCUUUUGAAGGCCUUUUGAAUUAAUUAAUAUCUUCUCAUCUCUGAAAAUGGUUCGUACAUGCUU
rnacentral:lncRNA from 1 species